AUGGGAUGCCCGGUGGUGGGUUGGCCUUGUCGAUACUUGGGCCUCCCCGUAAGCCUAAAGAAGAUCACGGCUGGCCAGUUGCAGUAUGUUGUUGACAAGAUGGCCGACAGGCUCCCCGCGUGGCAAGCAAGGAUGAUGUUCAGAGCUGGGAGGCUGGAACUCCUCAAAACCACCCUUGCAUCAAUGCCAAUCCAUGCUAUGACGACAAUAGAUCUCCCAGUCAAAACAAUCGAAGCAACCAAUAAGAUUUGUAGAGGGUUCCUAUGGAAGGGGCGACGAGAUGUCCACGGGGGACACUGCUUGGUGGCGUGGGAUCAAGUUUGCGCACCCAAGGAAUAUGGUGGUCUGGGGGUGCCCAACUUACGACUGCUCAACACCUCUCUUCGAGCACGAUGGCCAUGGUUGGCCAGGACGGAUAUGGAUAGGCCAUGGAUAGAAUUCAACAUCAGGUCUCGUCGGACUCGAUGGCUAUAUACAAGGCAGCCACCAAAUGCACCAUUGGGAGUGGUGAAUCCACUCUAUUCUGGACGGAUUGGUGGCUGCAAGAGGGACGCAUACAGGAUCUCAUGCCACACCUGUUCAAAGCUGCAAAGAGAAGUGCGAUCAAGGUGA
rnacentral:rRNA from 1 species